AACGCUGGCGGCGUGCUUAACACAUGCAAGUCGAGCGAAGCACUUAAGUUUGAUUCUUCNGGAUGAAGACUUUUGUGACUGAGCGGCGGACGGGUGAGUAACGCGUGGGUAACCUGCCUCAUACAGGGGGAUAACAGUUAGAAAUGGCUGCUAAUACCGCAUAAGACCACAGUACUGCAUGGUACAGUGGUAAAAACUCCGGUGGUAUGAGAUGGACCCGCGUCUGAUUAGGUAGUUGGUGAGGUAACGGCCCACCAAGCCGACGAUCAGUAGCCGACCUGAGAGGGUGACCGGCCACAUUGGGACUGAGACACGGCCCAGACUCCUACGGGAGGCAGCAGUGGGGAAUAUUGCACAAUGGGCGAAAGCCUGAUGCAGCGACGCCGCGUGAAGGAUGAAGUAUUUCGGUAUGUAAACUUCUAUCAGCAGGGAAGAAAAUGACGGUACCUGACUAAGAAGCCCCGGCUAACUACGUGCCAGCAGCCGCGGUAAUACGUAGGGGG
rnacentral:rRNA from 1 species